UUUAGCUGGGGUAGUGGCUUUAAUAAAUUUAAGGUUGAUGAAACAGUAAAUAAUUGGUGAAGGUCCUUUAUAUUAGGAUACAUAGAGUUAGUUACUUUAGGGAUAACAGCGCUAUAGUCUCAAGGAGACCAUAUCUAUGGGAUUGAUUGCGACCUCGAUGUUGAAUUAGAAGAUCGGUGUGGAGCAGAAACCAUUACAAGAAGGUUUGUUCAACCUUUAAAUUUUUACAUGAUCAGAGUUCAGACCGGA
rnacentral:rRNA from 1 species